rnacentral:lncRNA from 1 species
CCCCGCUCCGCCCCCCGCGCCCCGCACGCCCCGCUCCGCCCCCUGAGCCCGCACGCCCCGCUGCUCCCCCUGCGCCCUCCGCCCGCCCCUCCUCCCGAGCGCCGGGGCCUGGGGGCGGCUCCGGGGAGGCGGCGCCGGUGCCAGGUUACCGGCUGGGGGAUUCGGAGGGUCGCGGGCCUCGUACCCACGGCAGUGCGAACGCCCAUCUAGGCUCACCAGGCCGGGCCACACCGCGGGCCCGCCCCGCGGGCACACGCUUCCUUCCUGUCCGCGCCCGAGCUGCGGGCGGGCGGCGCCCCGGCCUGGGGCCCGCGUCACGCCGGGGCCUCAAUAAAGGGCUUUGUGGUCCCGGCCCCGCCCGCGAGGGGUCGGGGCGCCGGGCUUGGGAUGCGCGCCCCGCGAGGUCCCGUCGGACACAGGCCCCCUGGUGAGACAGCCAGGACCGGGACCACGCUGGACGGAACAAAGGCCACGAGCCAAAGACAGGGCUGAGAAGAAAUCAGGACCCAGGGAGAGGAUGUGAUGAGUCCAGGGCCACACUGAGAGAUAUCAGACAGCCUGUGAUUUCACCAUAUGGGAACUCCUUUUCUUGCAUAUGUAGAUAAUUCCUGACAAUUGUGUUUAGUUAUUUCCUGUGUGACUCACUUUGAACAAAUCUGGUGGAAGUUAUGGUGUAUGACUUUUGAGACUAGGUCAUAAAAAGUAUUGUGGCUUCCUUCUUGCUGUCUCUCUUGGAUCACUAACCCUGGAAGAGGCCAAUUGCCAUGUUGGAAGGACACCAAAGCCACCUUAUGGAGAAAUUCACAUGCAAAGGAAUUGAGGCCUCUGGCCAACAACGGGUGAGGUGGCCUCUUGCUACCAACCAUGUGAGUGCGCAAUCUUGGAAGCAGAUGUUCCAUGGCUCGCUCACGCCUUCCGAUGACUGCAGCCCCAGCAGAUAGCCCCAGCUGAUAUCUUGACUGAAGCUUCACGGGAGACCCCGGGCCAGAACCACCUAGCCAAGUCACUCCAGAAUUCCUGGCCCUGAGACAAUAUAAGAUGUUUGUCAUUUUAAGCUUACAACCUUUGGGCCUAGGAUUCUCCCCAGGAUGAAAUCUGGAGCAGUGAGGAUCCGUGGCUGGCUCUCAGGUGCGCAGCAACAGGUGGUGUUGAGCACUUUACACCAGAAGAGCUCAGCCCCGGACACCUACACAUGAAUUGCUCUAUUGUGCAAGCCAGAAGCAUUAAUCCUAAGAGCAAGAAGAAAGAUCUUUACACACCUUAAUAUGUGAGUCCUUUGGGAUGUUACAAUGUUGCCCUGUAAAGUCUAAUUAAAACGAAGGAUUUAUCUGCCUCAGUCCAAUCGACAUUUCAGUUUCAUGCUAAUUUAUAAUAAGUUACUUUAGGGUAACUAGAGGGGCCAGCCCAGUGGCACAGUGGUUAAGUUCACCCGUUCCACUUCGGUGGCCCUGGGUUUGCCUGUUCGGAUCCCCGAUGUGGACUGUUUGUCAAACCAUGCUGUGGCGGGCAUCCCACACAUAAAGUAGAGGAAGAUGGGCAUGGAUGUUAGCUCAGGGCCAGUCUUCCUCAGGAAAAAGAGGAGGAUUUUUGGCAGAUAUUAGAUCAGGGCUAAUCUUCCUAAAAAAAAAGAAAAAAAGUAAGAAAGUAAGAAUAAUUAGAAAAUUAA